rnacentral:rRNA from 1 species
UGGACCUCAGAUCAGUCAAGGGUACCCGCUGAGUUUAAGCAUAUCACUAAGCGGAGGAAAAGAAACUAACGAGGAUUUCCCUAGUAACGGCGAGCGAACCGGAAAGGGCCCAGCUUGAAAAUCUCGCGGCCUGGCCGUGCGAAUUGUAGUCUGGAGAAGCGUCCUCUGCAGCGGACCGGGCCCAAGUUCUCUGGAACGGGACGUCGGAGAGGGUGAGAGCCCCGUCGAGCUCGGACCCUGCUGCUCCACGAGGCGCUGUCGUCGAGUCGGGCUGUUUGGGAAUGCAGCCCUAAGCGGGUGGUAAAUUCCAUCCAAGGCUAAAUAC